UUCGUAGGGUGCAAGCGUUGUCCGGAUUUAUUGGGCGUAAAGAGCUCGUAGGCGGUUUGUCGCGUCGGAUGUGAAAACCCAGGGCUCAACCCUGGGCCUGCAUUCGAUACGGGCAGACUAGAGUAUGGCAGGGGAGACUGGAAUUCCUGGUGUAGCGGUGAAAUGCGCAGAUAUCAGGAGGAACACCGGUGGCGAAGGCGGGUCUCUGGGCCAAAACUGACGCUGAGGAGCGAAAGCGUGGGGAGCGAACAGG
rnacentral:rRNA from 1 species